rnacentral:rRNA from 1 species
UGCGUAGGCGGACUAAUAAGUCAGUGGUGAAAUCUCUCGGCUCAACCGGGAAACUGCCAUUGAUACUGUUAGUCUUGAGUUCGGUUGAGGUAGGCGGAAUGUGUAAUGUAGCGGUGAAAUGCUUAGAUAUUACACAGAACACCAAUUGCGUAGGCAGCUUACUAGACCGACACUGACGCUGAGGCACGAAAGCGUGGGUAGCGAACAGGAUUAGAUACCAUGGUAGUCC